AUUGAACGCUGGCGGCAGGCUUAACACAUGCAAGUCGAGCGAGCGGCGGCCGGGUGAGUAAUGUCUGGGAAACUGCCUGAUGGAGGGGGAUAACUACUGGAAACGGUAGCUAAUACCGCAUACCAUCAGAUGUGCCCAUAUGGGAUUAGAUAGUAGGGGGGGUAAUGGCUCACCUAGGCGACACUCCCUAGCUGGUCUGAGAGGGUGACCAGGCACACUGUAACUGAGACACGGUCCAGACUCCUACGGGAGGCAGCAGGGGGGAAUAUUGCACAAUGGGCGCAAGCCUGAUGCAGCCAUGCCGCGUGUGUGAAGAAGGCCUUCGGGUUGUAAAGCACGUUCAGCGAGGAGGCGGUACUCGCAGAAGAAGCACCGGCUAACUCCGUGCCAGCAGCCGCGGUAAUUC
rnacentral:rRNA from 1 species